GCUGCUGACGUUGUAGUGGUUGGGGAUAUAUUUGUUGUCAUAGAAGCUACAGUUGUUGUUGUAGGUGCUGCAGUUGUGGUUAUCGUAGGAGCUUCAGUUGUAGUUGUUAAAGUAGGUGCUGCAGUUGUAGUGGUUGUAAGAGCUACAUAUGGUGUAGGAGCGUCAGUUGCAGUUAUUUUAGCAGAUGCUGCAGCGGUUGUCGAAGUAGGUGGUGUAGUUGUGGUCGUAGGAGCUACAGUUGUUGCACUUGGAGCUACAGUUGUGGUUGUCGUAGGAGCUACAGUUGUGGUUGUCGUAGUAGGUGUUGUGGUUGUCGUAGUAGGUGUUGUGGUUGUCGUAGUAGGUGGUGUGGUUGUCGUAGUAGGUGCUGCAGUUGUCGUAGUAGGUGCUGCAGUUGUCGUAAUAGGUGCUGCAAUUGUGGUUGUCGUAGCAGCUUCAGUUAUAAUUGUCGUAGUAGGUGCUGCAGUUGUGGUUAUCAUAGGCGCUUCAGUUGUAGUUGUUGUAGUAUGUGCUGCAGUCGUAGUGGUUGUAAGAGCUACAGUUGUUGUAGUAGGAGCUGAAGUGAUUUUCGCUGUAGCUGCUGACGUUGUAGUGGUUGGGGACAUAUUUGUUGUCGUAAAAGCUACAGUUGUUGUUGUAGGUGCUGCUGUUGUGGUUGUCGUUGUAGGUGCUGCUGUUGUAGUGGUCGUAGUAUCUAAAGUUUUAGUAGGAGUAUCAGUUGCGGUUGUCGUAGGAGCUGUGUUUGUAAUGGUCGUCGUGGGUGCUUCUG
rnacentral:lncRNA from 1 species